AGUCCCUCUUGCCUGGAGCAUUAACACAACGUGGCUGCAAAGUUAGUCCUUUCCCGCUACCAUCUCCUGAAUACUGGGACUAACUACACGUAUGCACGAACCUGCCCAUCUUUGCCUCUGUUAACAGCUGCCACUGUCUCUUCACGACAUGAUGGCUGACCUAGGUUGGAAGGAACAGAGCCAGUUGGCCAUGGACUGAAACUUUUGGAACUGAUUCUGAGGAGUUAAUGUUUCCAUGAAUAUCUCAGAAGGAGAUGUGGACAAACGAACAGUUAUCUCACUCCUGUAGCCCAGGCCCUCCCACCGAGAAGUGGCACUAACCACCACAGGUCAAUAUAAUGGAGACAGUUCUUCAAUUGAUGUUCCCCCUUCCCAGGUUGGACUACAGUGAUCACUGAGUAGGAGCUUCGUCUUUAAAAUCUGGGGUGUGCUGUUAUGCAAUCUUCUUUCCCUGCCCAGUACUGGAUCUGUGAAAAGCUGAAUCAUGAAUCAGUGAGUGUGCGGAUUGGAACCCAAGUUGCUCUCUGGAUAGAACGAAAGGAGUCGUGCCCCAAGAAGAUGGAGAGGGAAGUUAUGAAAUGCUGUGACCAAAUAACAAAUGCUGAUGUUUGGGGAGAUAACUGUUUCCCAUAGGAAAUAGAGUGAAUGCGAUGUCUUUCUUUUGUGAGGGAUUCAUAGACCGCUUCUCAACGCUUGUUACAUGUUACUCCUUUUUUCGAGAUUUUUAUUUACCUAACUGGGAAAGAAACCAGAACAAGGUUUUCAUUGAAUUCUGAUACAGGUAUUUAAAGACUUACGGACAAGAUAUAGAAGAAGAAGUGGUAAUUAACUGAUUAAAGAAGUACAGUUUAUAUCCAGUAGACAGACAGGCUCCAGACAUCCUUAGUGCUGUCUUAGCAUCAAAGGUUAAUCUACCUAAUACUUGUCAUCCUGAAAUGCAUGGUGGAACAUCCAACAGACAAGAGCUACUUCAGGGAAGGACUAUGAUUUUUGUCGUGGAAGACAUUUAACACAGGGCAGCUCCUGUGCACUUACAUGAUAGAUAUUGCUCUUCCGGGGACUCUGAAUGCUCAUCCCACUUUCAGCUCACUAGGCACAUCGAACUAGAAAUUUUAUCAUCUCGUGAAUUAGUCCAAUACCUGAAGGAGCAAGAGAACCAACACCCAGUUGACAAGAAUAUGACCUGUUGAUUGAAGACCAUUAAGAAAGUAACUUGAUUCAGUUGGACUGGACUUUUUUAUUCUAUUGAAAAAGGAAUUUAUUUCCCCUCAGUGAACGUAACAUGAUCAACAUUUUGAAAGUUGUGAACAUGCAUAGUUCUAUAAUUUACAAAAUAAUUAUAAAAAUCUGAGUAUGGAUGCAGCAUAAUUUCAGAACAGAAUAGCCAUCAUACUUUUUAUAUAUCUUAAAUUCGAGUUUUCAAGAGUAUAUUUCUAUGUUAUAUCCUUUGAUUAGUACAAUAUAAAAUCUACAUCUAAUAUGUACUUCAGGUUUUAUUAGAUCAUGCCAUAUUACUGUACAAUUUGGACUUUUCCAUUUUUAUAUAAAAUGUAACAUGCAUUGUACAUUAAUAUUUAUAUAUCUUGUUUAUUUAUAUAUCUUUAGAAUUAAUUUCUGCCAAUUAUUUUCUUUAUUUGAAUACUUGGGGUAUCAUAAAGGUGCUGUUGAGGUAUUCUCAAUAUGCUUGUACAACUUCCUGCCUGUAGUUAAUAAAUGUGGAUAUUUCAUUAAACAAUUGAAAUAUAA
rnacentral:lncRNA from 1 species